GUAGGUGGCAAGCGUUAUCCGGAAUUAUUGGGCGUAAAGCGCGCGCAGGCGGUUUCUUAAGUCUGAUGUGAAAGCCCACGGCUCAACCGUGGAGGGUCAUUGGGAACUGGGGAACUUGAGUGCAGAAGAGAAAAGCGGAAUUCCACGUGUAGCGGUGAAAUGCGUAGAGAUGUGGAGGAACACCAGUGGCGAAGGCGGCUUUUUUGGUCUGUAACUGACGCUGAGGCGCGGAAGCGUGGGGAGCAAACAGGGAUUAGAUACCCUGGUAGUCCACGCCGUAAACGAUGAGUGCUAAGUGUUAGAGGGUUUCCGCCCUUUAGUGCUGCAGCUAACGCAUUAAGCACUCCGCCUGGGGAGUACGGUCGCAAGACUG
rnacentral:rRNA from 1 species